AGUGAACGCUGGCGGUAGGCCUAACACAUGCCAGUCGAACGGCAGCACAGUAAGAGCUUGCUCUUACGGGUGGCGAGUGGCGGACGGGUGAGGAAUACAUCGGAAUCUACUUUUUCGUGGGGGAUAACGUAGGGAAACUUACGCUAAUACCGCAUACGACCUACGGGUGAAAGCAGGGGAUCUUCGGACCUUGCGCGAUUGAAUGAGCCGAUGUCGGAUUAGCUAGUUGGCGGGGUAAAGGCCCACCAGGCGACGAUCCGUAGCUGGUCUGAGAGGAUGAUCAGCCACACUGGAACUGAGACACGGUCCAGACUCCUACGGGAGGCAGCAGUGGGGAAUAUUGGACAAUGGGCGCAAGCCUGAUCCAGCCAUACCGCGUGGGUGAAGAAGGCCUUCGGGUUGUAAAGCCCUUUUGUUGGGAAAGAAAAGCAGCAGGUUAAUACCCCGCUGUUCUGACGGUACCCAAAGAAUAAGCACCGGCUAACUUCGUG
rnacentral:rRNA from 1 species